rnacentral:rRNA from 1 species
GAUGAACGCUGGCGGCGUGCCUAACACAUGCAAGUCGAACGGACCUUGCCAUAUGGAAGUACUUGUACUGAAAGAUGGCGCUGGUUAGUGGCGGACGGGUGAGUAACACGUGAGUAAUUAACCUUCCAGACUGGGAUAACAACGGGAAACUGGUGCUAAUACCGGAUACGAUUUUCAGGCGGCAUCGCCUGGGGAUGAAAAGAGGCCUCUCCAUGGAAGCUCCUGCUGGAAGACAAGCUCGCGGCUGAUUAGCUAGUUGGUGGGGUAACGGCCGACCAAGGCAACGAUCAGUAGCCGGGCUGAGAGGGUGAAAGGCCACACUGGGACUGAGACACGGCCCAGACUCCUACGGGAGGCAGCAGUGGGGAAUAUUGCGCAAUGGGGGAAACCCUGACGCAGCAACGCCGCGUGAAUGAAGAAGGCCUUCGGGUUGUAAAGUUCUGUCAAUUGGGAAGAAACCUCCGGGGUCAAUAGCUCUGGAGAUGACGGUACCUAAGAAGGAAGCUCCGGCUAACUACGUGCCAGCCGCCGCUGUAACAC